rnacentral:rRNA from 1 species
GACGAACGCUGGCGGCGUGCCUAAUACAUGCAAGUAGAACGCUGAAGGAGGAGCUUGCUUCUCUGGAUGAGUUGCGAACGGGUGAGUAACGCGUAGGUAACCUGCCUGGUAGCGGGGGAUAACUAUUGGAAACGAUAGCUAAUACCGCAUAAGAGUAGAUGUUGCAUGACAUUUGCUUAAAAGGUGCAAUUGCAUCACUACCAGAUGGACCUGCGUUGUAUUAGCUAGUUGGUGAGGUAACGGCUCACCAAGGCAACGAUACAUAGCCGACCUGAGAGGGUGAUCGGCCACACUGGGACUGAGACACGGCCCAGACUCCUACGGGAGGCAGCAGUAGGGAAUCGUCGGCAAUGGACGGAAGUCUGACCGAGCAACGCCGCGUGAGUGAAGAAGGGUUUCGGAUCGUAAAGCUCUGUUGUAAGAGAAGAACGAGGGUGAGAGUGGAAAGUUCACACUGUGACGGUAUCUUACCAGAAAGGGACGGCUAACUACGUG